CUAAAUGCGGAAGAGAUAAGUGCUGAAAGCAUCUAAGCACGAAACUUGCCCCGAGAUGAGUUCUCCCUGACCCUUUAAGGGUCCUGAAGGAACGUUGAAGACGACGACGUUGAUAGGCCGGGUGUGUAAGCGCAGCGAUGCGUUGAGCUAACCGGUACUAAUGAACCGUGAGGCUUAACCUU
rnacentral:rRNA from 1 species